CCCGACGCCCCCGCAGGGGGCCUGGAUGAGGACCGGGCGGUCCGGGGUUCGAAUCCCCGCGGCGGGACCA
rnacentral:tRNA from 1 species